rnacentral:rRNA from 1 species
UACGUAGGGAGCAAGCGUUGUCCGGAAUCAUUGGGCGUAAAGCGCGCGUAGGUGGCUUCGUAAGUCCGCUGUGAAAGUCAAAGGCUCAACCUUUGAAAGCCGGUGGAUACUGUGAAGCUAGAGUACGGAAGAGGCGAGUGGAAUUCCUGGUGUAGCGGUGGAAUGCGCAGAUAUCAGGAGGAACACCAAUAGCGAAGGCAGCUCGCUGGGACGUUACUGACACUGAGAGACGAAAGCUAGGGGAGCGAAUGGG